rnacentral:rRNA from 1 species
UACGUAGGGUGCGAGCGUUAAUCGGAAUUACUGGGCGUAAAGCGUGCGCAGGUGGUUGUGCAAGACAGAUGUGAAAUCCCCGGGCUUAACCUGGGAAUUGCAUUUGUGACUGCACGGCUAGAGUGUGGUAGAGGGGGAUGGAAUUCCGCGUGUAGCAGUGAAAUGCGUAGAUAUGCGGAGGAACACCGAUGGCGAAGGCAAUCCCCUGGGCCUGCACUGACACUCAUGCACGAAAGCGUGGGGAGCAAACAGG